rnacentral:rRNA from 1 species
CCUACGGGAGGUUGCAGUCGAGAAUCAUUCACAAUGGGGGAAACCCUGAUGGUGCGACGCCGCGUGGGGGAAUGAAGGUCUUCGGAUUGUAAACCCCUGUCAUGUGGGAGCAAAUUAAAAAGAUAGUACCACAAGAGGAAGAGACGGCUAACUCUGUGCCAGCAGCCGCGGUAAUACAGAGGUCUCAAGCGUUGUUCGGAAUCACUGGGCGUAAAGCGUGCGUAGGCUGUUUCGUAAGUCGUGUGUGAAAGGCGCGGGCUCAACCCGCGGACGGCACAUGAUACUGCGAGACUAGAGUAAGGGAGGGGGAACCGGAAUUCUCGGUGUAGCAGUGAAAUGCGUAGAUAUCGAGAGGAACACUCGUGGCGAAGGCGGGUUCCUGGACAUUAACUGACGCUGAGGCACGAAGGCCAGGGGAGCGAAAGGGAUUAGAUACCCGUGUAGUC